rnacentral:tRNA from 1 species
UCUCAGAUAGUUUAGCUGGAAGAGCGCUUGGUGCGUAAUCAAAAAAUCCGGGUUCGAUUUCCGGUCCGGGUG